rnacentral:rRNA from 1 species
AGAGUUUGAUCCUGGCUCAGGAUGAACGCUAGCGGCAGGCUUAACACAUGCAAGUCGAGGGGCAGCAUAAUGGAUAGCAAUAUCUAUGGUGGCGACCGGCGCACGGGUGCGUAACGCGUAUGCAACCUACCUUUAACAGGGGGAUAACACUGAGAAAUUGGUACUAAUACCCCAUAAUAUCAUAGAAGGCAUCUUUUAUGGUUGAAAAUUCCGAUGGUUAGAGAUGGGCAUGCGUUGUAUUAGCUAGUUGGUGGGGUAACGGCUCACCAAGGCGACGAUACAUAGGGGGACUGAGAGGUUAACCCCCCACACUGGUACUGAGACACGGACCAGACUCCUACGGGAGGCAGCAGUGAGGAAUAUUGGUCAAUGGACGCAAGUCUGAACCAGCCAUGCCGCGUGCAGGAUGACGGCUCUAUGAGUUGUAAACUGCUUUUGUACGAGGGUAAACGCAGAUACGUGUAUCUGUCUGAAAGUAUCGUACGAAUAAGGAUCGGCUAACUCCGUGCCAGCAGCCGCGGUAAUACGGAGGAUUCAAGCGUUAUCCGGAUUUAUUGGGUUUAAAGGGUGCGUAGGCGGUUUGAUAAGUUAGAGGUGAAAUUUCGGGGCUCAACCCUGAACGUGCCUCUAAUACUGUUGAGCUAGAGAGUAGUUGCGGUAGGCGGAAUGUAUGGUGUAGCGGUGAAAUGCUUAGAGAUCAUACAGAACACCGAUUGCGAAGGCAGCUUACCAAACUAUAUCUGACGUUGAGGCACGAAAGCGUGGGGAGCAAACAGGAUUAGAUACCCUGGUAGUCCACGCAGUAAACGAUGAUAACUCGUUGUCGGCGAUACACAGUCGGUGACUAAGCGAAAGCGAUAAGUUAUCCACCUGGGGAGUACGUUCGCAAGAAUGAAACUCAAAGGAAUUGACGGGGGCCCGCACAAGCGGAGGAACAUGUGGUUUAAUUCGAUGAUACGCGAGGAACCUUACCCGGGCUUGAAUUGCAGAGGAAGGAUUUGGAGACAAUGACGCCCUUCGGGGUCUCUGUGAAGGUGCUGCAUGGUUGUCGUCAGCUCGUGCCGUGAGGUGUCGGGUUAAGUCCCAUAACGAGCGCAACCCCUACCGUUAGUUGCCAUCAGGUGAAGCUGGGCACUCUGGCGGGACUGCCGGUGUAAGCCGAGAGGAAGGUGGGGAUGACGUCAAAUCAGCACGGCCCUUACGUCCGGGGCUACACA